rnacentral:lncRNA from 1 species
GGCCAGGGCCCGCCUCAGGCCACCUGGAAACCUCAGGAAAGUCCAGACAUCUGGCCUCUGCUGUCACAGUUCCAAGCAGCACCUCAGUCCGCUGAUUUUGGAAUGCACGCCUUGGGUGCUGGGUUUCUUAACUGGAGGGAAACAAGUGACUGGAUGGACGAGCAUGCUUUUCAGAAAAGAAACAGAAGACCACAACAGAAAACACCAGUACCCCGCCCUGCCAUGAACCCGUAGGACGUGUGACUUCCACAGAAGGGUCCCUCGGCACCAGCACCAUCGAAAUCUUCGCCUCCUGACAGCACGGGCCCUGCUCUCUUCUCUCGUCACCUUUUCUCCGUGUCACCUUCCCUAAUACGACACUCGAGAGAUUUUUCUUGUCCC